GUCCCCUUCGUCUAGCGGUCUAGGACAUCGCCCUUUCACGGCGGCAACAGGGGUUCAAUUCCCCUAGGGGACA
rnacentral:tRNA from 1 species